GAUGAACGCUAGCGGCAGGCCUAACACAUGCAAGUCGAGGGGUAACUAGAGUGAUAGCAAUAUUACUUUGGCUAGACCGGCGCACGGGUGCAUAACACGUAUGCAACCUACCUUAUACUGGGGAAUAACUUCGAGAAAUCGGCGCUAAUACCCCAUAACACUGCGGAGAGGCAUCUCUUUGCAGUUAAAGCUCCGGCGGUAUAAGAUGGGCAUGCGUCCAAUUAGCUAGUUGGUGAGGUAACGGCUCACCAAGGCUACGAUUGGUAGGGGUUCUGAGAGGAUGAUCCCCCACACUGGUACUGAGACACGGACCAGACCCCUACGGGAGGCAGCAGUGAGGAAUAUUGCGCAAUGGACGAAAGUCUGACGCAGCCAUGCCGCGUGCAGGAUGACGGCCCUAUGGGUUGUAAACUGCUUUUGUACGGGAAUAAACCCUUCUACGUGUAGGAGGCUGAAGGUACCGUAAGAAUAAGCACCGGCUAACUCCGUGCCAGCCGCCGCGGUAA
rnacentral:rRNA from 1 species